rnacentral:rRNA from 1 species
UGCAAGUCGAGCGGACAGAUGGGAGCUUGCUCCCUGAUGUUAGCGGCGGACGGGUGAGUAACACGUGGGUAACCUGCCUGUAAGACUGGGAUAACUCCGGGAAACCGGGGCUAAUACCGGAUGGUUGUUUGAACCGCAUGGUUCAAACAUAAAAGGUGGCUUCGGCUACCACUUACAGAUGGACCCGCGGCGCAUUAGCUAGUUGGUGAGGUAACGGCUCACCAAGGCGACGAUGCGUAGCCGACCUGAGAGGGUGAUCGGCCACACUGGGACUGAGACACGGCCCAGACUCCUACGGGAGGCAGCAGUAGGGAAUCUUCCGCAAUGGACGAAAGUCUGACGGAGCAACGCCGCGUGAGUGAUGAAGGUUUUCGGAUCGUAAAGCUCUGUUGUUAGGGAAGAACAAGUACCGUUCGAAUAGGGCGGUACCUUGACGGUACCUAACCAGAAAGCCACGGCUAACUACGUGCCAGCAGCCGCGGUAAUACGUAGGUGGCAAGCGUUGUCCGGAAUUAUUGGGCGUAAAGGGCUCGCAGGCGGUUUCUUAAGUCUGAUGUGAAAGCCCCCGGCUCAACCGGGGAGGGUCAUUGGAAACUGGGGAACUUGAGUGCAGAAGAGGAGAGUGGAAUUCCACGUGUAGCGGUGAAAUGCGUAGAGAUGUGGAGGAACACCAGUGGCGAAGGCGACUCUCUGGUCUGUAACUGACGCUGAGGAGCGAAAGCGUGGGGAGCGAACAGGAUUAGAUACCCUGGUAGUCCACGCCGUAAACGAUGAGUGCUAAGUGUUAGGGGGUUUCCGCCCCUUAGUGCUGCAGCUAACGCAUUAAGCACUCCGCCUGGGGAGUACGGUCGCAAGACUGAAACUCAAAGGAAUUGACGGGGGCCCGCACAAGCGGUGGAGCAUGUGGUUUAAUUCGAAGCAACGCGAAGAACCUUACCAGGUCUUGACAUCCUCUGACAAUCCUAGAGAUAGGACGUCCCCUUCGGGGGCAGAGUGACAGGUGGUGCAUGGUUGUCGUCAGCUCGUGUCGUGAGAUGUUGGGUUAAGUCCCGCAACGAGCGCAACCCUUGAUCUUAGUUGCCAGCAUUCAGUUGGGCACUCUAAGGUGACUGCCGGUGACAAACCGGAGGAAGGUGGGGAUGACGUCAAAUCAUCAUGCCCCUUAUGACCUGGGCUACACACGUGCUACAAUGGACAGAACAAAGGGCAGCGAAACCGCGAGGUUAAGCCAAUCCCACAAAUCUGUUCUCAGUUCGGAUCGCAGUCUGCAACUCGACUGCGUGAAGCUGGAAUCGCUAGUAAUCGCGGAUCAGC